AUCCAGCUGACGAGUCCCAAAUAAGACGAGACACGCGUGCGGGAU
rnacentral:hammerhead_ribozyme from 1 species